CGCUUGGUAGGCGGUCAAAUAUGUAAACAUCCAAUCAUCGAUCAUUUUGGGCGGAAGUGGUUCGCAUGCGCUCCUGGCUGCAAGAAAACCUAUAUUAGCUAGCAGCGCUAUGGCGGGUGAGGACGAGGAGUUGGUCCAGUUGAGGAAAAGUAGAACUCUGAUCAUCCGCCAUCUCCCUGCUGACCUGUCCAGGGAUGAGAAGCAGGAUCUACUCAAGUACUUUGGUGCCGUGGGAGUCAGAGUGUUCUCUGAUAAAGGAGUACUGAGACACACAGCCUUUGCAACAUUUGCGAGUGAAAAGUCUGCAGCAAAGGCUCUGAGCAGGCUUCACCAGCUACAGAUCCUCAACCAUACCCUGGUGGUGGAGUUUGCCAAAGACCAGGAACAUGUGACAGUGCUGAAAGACCCACCUGUGUCAGACAGUGCAACAGAUGGCAAAGAUGUGAAGAAGAAAAAGGAAGUGACACAACCGAGUAUACCACUAAUAGAGACUGGCACUGCACCCAAACUCGGGUUGAAAUUUCCAUCAAAUCCCAGUCUGAAAUAUUUAUAUCCACCUCCUUCGAAUGGGAUUCUGACAAACAUAACACAUGCCCUUCUGAGCGUACCAAACUUUUACGUUCAGGUCCUUCACCUGAUGAACAAGAUGAACCUACCGUCUCCGUUCGGCCCCAUCACAGCAAGACCUCCGAUGUAUGAGAUGCAUCCUGCCCCCCCUCCACCAAUGCCGCCCCCCUAUCCUCCCCACUACCCCCCCUUACCAGCAGAUGAGAUGGACCUCUCCAGCGAGGAGGGGUCUGAGUAUGAGAGUGGAGAUGACGAGGACAAAGAGAGGAUGAUUCGCCUGAUGGGUCUGGUCAACCAAGCAUGCAAGAGACCUCUGAGAACUAAAGUGUCCUCCAAGAGAAAGAAACCCAAGUUCAAGGAUCUUCUCUUUGUCCCCAAGCCCGAAUCUCAGAGUGCUCCAGGGCCCAUCUUGCAGCCAUCAGAUGUGUUUGAGCAGCCCCAGCCUUGCGGACAGAAGAAGAUUGAGUUCCACAUUUCAGCAGAUGUGUCAGCCAUACUGGAAGGUGGAGGAGGCAACUCCACCCAGCCACAGGAGCCCACUGAGGAGGCUGAAGUAGCAGCUGAGGAGAUGCAGGCCACCACUACUACAGAGGAGGAUCCAGGGGAGGGCUUUGGGAAGAUCUACCCUGCCGCCCAGGCCUCCCAACUGGAGGAGGACAGUGAUGAGGAUGAGGAUGUCCCCUCUGAUGUCAUCUCCAGGAAGGAACUGGAUAAGGGACGGCUGUCCAGAGACGAGAUAAAAAGGAUGUCCGUGUAUAAAAAUUAUGAACCUGGAGAGCCGACCAGCAGACUUUACGUGAAGAAUAUCGCCAAGUCAGUAGAAGAGAAAGAUCUGAAAUACAUCUAUGGGCGAUACAUCGACGUUUCAUCUGAGGCAGAGAGAAAUAUGUUUGACAUAGUGCUGAUGAGGGAGGGUCGUAUGAAGGGCCAGGCAUUCGUUGGUCUCCCAAGUGAGAGGAGUGCAGAGAAGGCCCUGAGAGACACCAACGGUUACGUCCUCUAUGACAAGCCCCUCGUCGUCUCGUUUGCCAGGUCUGCCAGACCUAAAGCGGACACCCCGGACCCCAAGAAAGGACCCAAACGAACCCGAUGAACAGAUAUUGAUGUCAAGUUGAAGUUACAUGGUGAUAGUGUGGCCCAGCAGUGAUGGAAUCCUCUGCAAACUGAAGACAACACGUUAGGAAUAUAAUUUCUUCAGGUUUUUUUUUUUUUCAUAAAAUAUUUUUUAUAUAUGUAUUGUCUGUCUAUAAAUGCCUUCUAGUCCACUGUAAGGUCUUUAUUAGUUUUCUUUAAUACUUUUUUUGGUACAUGUUACAUAAUCACACAAUGUCAAAGUUGCCUAAUUAGAAAAUAUAGAUAUGAAUUUACACAAUUUUGUGUCAUUGGUGAACUAUCUGUAGGGUCACAGGAAUUUUUUAUCUCAGAGAAAGUGAGAACUGAACAGGAGAGAGUAGGUAAAUAUAGACAGUGAAAGCAAUUUGAAAUCUGAAUUGGCUGUGAGCCUCAGCAACAGAUGGUGGUGUCAACGCUGUAGACUAGAGUAACACACUCCUGACGAGACAAACAAACAAGCAAACAAACACGGACUGUGAAAGAUGCUGGUAGGCAGAGACUGAGUCCGUCAACGUGGCUGUACCCUGCUGGCUGUACUCUGGAUUCAUGAUGAUUGCUAGAUUUUUAUUGGGGAUGGAGCAAAGUGCACACUGGAGGAAGGUGAGCAUUGCAAUUAAAACAGACAUUGUUUAUUAUUAAAAUCACGUUUCUUGUGUUGUCAGUUCCAUGCACCGAGGUAAAGAACUGACUGAUUUCGAUAUUCAACGGAUAUUUGCUCUUUCAAACCUCAAUAGCUUUCAAACCACUUGAGCCACAGACUCCAAAUAAGUGUCAUGAUUUUGGAAAAUUGCGCACAACAUUGCACAGGUCUUAUUUUCACGAUUUAGACAUUUAAUUUGCUUUUCCAAAGCUAAUAAACAUGUGGAAAUGUGA